rnacentral:rRNA from 1 species
CGAAGUAAGACUAAUACCCAAUGACGUCUCUAGAAGACAUCUGAAAGAGAUUAAAGAUUUAUCGGUGAUGGAUGGGGAUGCGUCUGAUCAGCUUGUUGGCGGGGUAACGGCCCACCAAGGCGACGAUCAGUAGGGGUUCUGAGAGGAAGGUCCCCCACAUUGGAACUGAGACACGGGUCCAAACUCCUACGGGAGGCAGCAGUGAGGAAUAUUGGUCAAUGGACGGGAGUCUGAACCAGCCAAGUAGCGUGCAGGAAGACGGCCCUAUGGGUUGUAAACUGCUUUUAUAAGGGAAUAAAGUGGGUCACGUGUGACUUUUUGCAUGUACCUUAUGAAUAAGGACCGGCUAAUUCCGUG